AAGGAAAGAAAGAAAGAAAGAAAGAAAGAAAGAAAGAAAGAAAGAAAGAAAGAAAGAAAGAAAGAAAGAAAAGAAAUUGUAGCUGGCCUUCCCCUGCCACCAUGGGCUCACCACUGUCCAAGUUGUUGACAGUUUAAAUUAAACACCAUCAACUCACCAAUAAAUUGGAUGGGACAGAGUUAGGUCUCGCUGUCCCUCUCAGUUCCAUUAAUAAAGAGAAUUCCAUCAUUUCUGUUUGGAAUUGUUUUGAAGAUGACUACAGAGACAUUUCUGAGGUGGACAUGGACAGAAUACUUGACGUCAUUUCCCAAACACCACUAAUCGGUUUUACAGUACUUCACAAACCGUAAGGUUUAUUCACCCAUUAAUGUUGAUGAGCUAUCUGUGCGUCACUCCACUCAGCAUUGAUGGGGGUUGCCCAGGAUAAUCCCCUGCCAGGGGAAGUGAGAGGAAUAGACUUUAAAAGAUGCCAAACUUGAAAAUUUACAUCAGCAUUUAAACUGCAUUAUUACUCCUCCACAUUCAUUGGGCUUUCCUUUCUUCAGUCAAGAGGUCUUGGGACUGCAGAAGAUCAGUAUGAUCCAUAAAGGUAA